GCAUUUUCUUGUUUGGGCGACUUCGGAAUAUCAAAUUUUUCACCAGGCCCGGUCGUCCUGCCAAAUUUCAUGAGUUUUCGCCAGUGGGAAGUGGGCCAUUUUCCAGUUCAAAGGGGAGGAAAAAUAAUAAUAAUAACAAACUAGGGCCCCGUUGGGGCACUGGCGGGCCCGAGCUGUGUCGCGCCGCCCCCAACACGACCGCCUCUCCCUCCCGAUCGCGUCACACUCAAGGUCCAAAGAUGGUGUGCACACUUGUCUGUGGUCAUUUACCAUUAUAAUGAAUGGGAGGCGCAGUUUCUACCAAAACGCUCGCUGCAGACAAACUGUCCUAUUUGAAAAAAGUCUGGACCAUGAGUGAGGGCACAAACACAGCUAGGAUAUAUCCAAAUGGCAAGUUUCUCCUCCUUUCGGUUUUGCCGAGAGAGCGAUGUGUUUGAGCCGUUGAGCGAUGGGCAGGAAAAACUAGACUUUUUCUCCUGCCAUGGGGGGGGCACUCUUUUAGGGAGUAAAAAUUCCUUCACAAAUGUGUUGAUGGCUGGACAUUGCAUCAUCCUAGAAAACUUGGAGGCCAGUGAGGACAAAAAUAAAAAGUUAUAAGACUUUGAAAUAUGUGGAUUUUAGGGUUAUCUUUGGCGCCCCCUAGAACCUAAACCGUGGGGUGCAGCGUCAUGAUUUGAAUAACUUUUAAUGGCCAUGGGGUGUAGAUUGGCCUGAGCAAAUGUGGUGGCGGUGGAACAAAAGCCUUCGGAGGAGUUAGCGAAAUUCCAAUGUGUACGGAUCGCCAAAAAAUGCGAAAUAGCCCUUUAACCGUACAUUUGACAGAUACGCCCGCAUUGACUUUUUCGUAGAUAUUAUUGAGAUACACCUGUGUGCCAAAUUUUGUGUCAUUUUGACAAAGUGUAGAGGCGUGACACUCAACAAUGUGUAUUUUCACCUUAGGGGACAAGAAAAAAUGGACUUUUUCUCCUGCCAUGGGGGGGCGCUCUUUUGGGGAGUAAAAAUUCCUUCACAAAUGUGUUGAUGGCUGGACAUUGCAUCAUCCUAGAAAACUUGGAGGCCAGUGAGGACAAAAAUAAAAAGUUAUAAGACUUUGAAAUAUGUGGAUUUUUGGGUUAUCUUUGGCGCCCCCUAGAACCUAAACCGUGGGGUGCAGCGUCAUGAUUUGAAUAACUUUUAAUGGCCAUGGGGUGUAGAUUGGCCUGAGCAAAUGUGGUGCCGGUGGAACAAAAGCCUUCGGAGGAGUUAGCGAAAUUCCAAUGUGUACGGAUCGCCAAAAAAUGCGAAAUAGCCCUUUAACCGUACAUUUGACAGAUACGCCCGCAUUGACUUUUUCGUAGAUCUUAUUGAGACACACCUGUGUGCCAAAUUUUGUGUCAUUUUGACAAAGUGUAGAGGCGUGACACUCAACAAUGUGUAUUUUCACCUUAGGGGACAAGUAAAAAUGGACUUUUUUCUCCUGCCAUGGGGGGCGCUCUUUUGGGGAGAAAAAAUUCCUUCACAAAUGUGUUGAUGGCUGGACAUUGCAUCAUCCUAGAAAACUUGGAGGCCAGUGAGGACAAAAAUAAAAAGUUAUAAGACUUUUAAAUAUGUGGAUUUUAGGGUUAUCUUUGGCGCCCCCUAGAACCUAAACCGUGGGGUGCAGCGUCAUGAUUUGAAUAACUUUUAAUGGCCAUGGGGUGUAGAUUGGCCUGAGCAAAUGUGGUGCCGGUGGAACAAAAGCCUUCGGAGGAGUUAGCGAAAUUCCAAUGUGUACGGAUCGCCAAAAAAUGCGAAAUAGCCCUUUAACCGUACAUUUGACAGAUACGCCCGCAUUGACUUUUUUGUAGAUCUUAUUGAGACACACCUGUGUGCCAAAUUUUGUGUCAUUUUGACAAAGUGUAGAGGCGUGACACUCAACAAUGUGUAUUUUCACCUUAGGGGACAAGAAAAAAUGGACUUUUUUCUCCUGCCAUGGGGGGGCGCUCUUUUGGGGAGUAAAAAUUCCUUCACAAAUGUGUUGAUGGCUGGACAUUGCAUCAUCCUAGAAAACUUGGAGGCCAGUGAGGACAAAAAUAAAAAGUUAUAAGACUUUUAAAUAUGUGGAUUUUUGGGUUAUCUUUGGCGCCCCCUAGAACCUAAACCGUGGGGUGCAGCGUCAUGAUUUGAAUAACUUUUAAUGGCCAUGGGGUGUAGAUUGGCCUGAGCAAAUGUGGUGCCGGUGGAACAAAAGCCUUCGGAGGAGUUAGCGAAAUUCCAAUGUGUACGGAUCGCCAAAAAAUGCGAAAUAGCCCUUUAACCGUACAUUUGACAGAUACGCCCGCAUUGACUUUUUCGUAGAUCUUAUUGAGACACACCUGUGUGCCAAAUUUUGUGUCAUUUUGACAAAGUGUAGAGGCGUGACACUCAACAAUGUGUAUUUUCACCUUAGGGGACAAGUAAAAAUGGACUUUUUUCUCCUGCCAUGGGGGGGCGCUCUUUUGGGGAGAAAAAAUUCCUUCACAAAUGUGUUGAUGGCUGGACAUUGCAUCAUCCUAGAAAACUUGGAGGCCAGUGAGGACAAAAAUAAAAAGUUAUAAGACUUUUAAAUAUGUGGAUUUUUGGGUUAUCUUUGGUGCCCCCUAGAACCUAAACCGUGGGGUGCAGCGUCAUGAUUUGAAUAACUUUUAAUGGCCAUGGGGUGUAGAUUGGCCUGAGCAAAUGUGGUGCCGGUGGAACAAAAGCCUUCGGAGGAGUUAGCGAAAUUCCAAUGUGUACGGAUCGCCAAAAAAUGCGAAAUAGCCCUUUAACCGUACAUUUGACAGAUACGCCCGCAUUGACUUUUUUGUAGAUCUUAUUGAGACACACCUGUGUGCCAAAUUUUGUGUCAUUUUGACAAAGUGUAGAGGCGUGACACUCAACAAUGUGUAUUUUCACCUUAGGGGACAAGAAAAAAUGGACUUUUUUCUCCUGCCAUGGGGGGCGCUCUUUUGGGGAGUAAAAAUUCCUUCACAAAUGUGUUGAUGGCUGGACAUUGCAUCAUCCUAGAAAACUUGGAGGCCAGUGAGGACAAAAAUAAAAAGUUAUAAGACUUUUAAAUAUGUGGAUUUUUGGGUUAUCUUUGGUGCCCCCUAGAACCUAAACCGUGGGGUGCAGCGUCAUGAUUUGAAUAACUUUUAAUGGCCAUGGGGUGUAGAUUGGCCUGAGCAAAUGUGGUGCCGGUGGAACAAAAGCCUUCGGAGGAGUUAGCGAAAUUCCAAUGUGUACGGAUCGCCAAAAAAUGCGAAAUAGCCCUUUAACCGUACAUUUGACAGAUACGCCCGCAUUGACUUUUUCGUAGAUCUUAUUGAGACACACCUGUGUGCCAAAUUUUGUGUCAUUUUGACAAAGUGUAGAGGCGUGACACUCAACAAUGUGUAUUUUCACCUUAGGGGACAAGUAAAAAUGGACUUUUUUCUCCUGCCAUGGGGGGGCGCUCUUUUGGGGAGAAAAAAUUCCUUCACAAAUGUGUUGAUGGCUGGACAUUGCAUCAUCCUAGAAAACUUGGAGGCCAGUGAGGACAAAAAUAAAAAGUUAUAAGACUUUUAAAUAUGUGGAUUUUAGGGUUAUCUUUGGCGCCCCCUAGAACCUAAACCGUGGGGUGCAGCGUCAUGAUUUGAAUAACUUUUAAUGGCCAUGGGGUGUAGAUUGGCCUGAGCAAAUGUGGUGCCGGUGGAACAAAAGCCUUCGGAGGAGUUAGCGAAAUUCCAAUGUGUACGGAUCGCCAAAAAAUGCGAAAUAGCCCUUUAACCGUACAUUUGACAGAUACGCCCGCACUGACUUUUUUGUAGAUCUUAUUGAGAUACAUGUGUGUGUCAAAUUUUGUGUCAAUAUGACAAAGCGUACAGGCGUGACACUCAACAAUGUGUAUUUUCACCUUAGGGGACAGGAAAAAAUGGACUUUUUUCUCCUGCCAUGGGGGGGCGCUCUUUUGGGGAUUAAAAAUUCCUUCACAAAUGUGUUGAUGGCUGGACAUUGCAUCAUCCUAGAAAACUUGGAGGCCAGUGAGGGCAAAAAUAAAAAGUUAUAAGACUUUUAAAUAUGUGGAUUUUAGGGUUAUCUUUGGCGCCCCCUAGAACCUAAACCGUGGGGUGCAGCGUCAUGAUUUGAAUAACUUUUAAUGGCCAUGGGGUGUAGAUUGGCCUGAGCAAAUGUGGUGCCGGUGGAACGAAAGCCUUCGGAGGAGUUAGCGAAAUUCCAAUGUGUGCGUAUCGGCAAAAAAUGCGGAAUAACCCUUUAACUGUACAUUUGACAGAUACGCCCGCACUGACUUUUUUGUAGAUCUUAUUGAGAUACAUGUGUGUGUCAAUUUUUGUGUCAAUAUGACAAAGCGUAAAGGCGUGACAGUCAAUAGUGUGAAUUUUCACCUUAGGGGGCGCUAUGGAGCCAUUUUGCAUUUUCUUGUUUGGGCGACUUCGGAAUAUCAAAUUUUUCACCAGUCCCGGUCAUCCUGCCAAAUUUCAUGAGUUUUCGCCAGUGGGAAGUGGGCCAUUUUCCAGUUCAAAGGGGAGGAAAAAGAAGAAACUAGGGCCCCGGUGGGGCACUGUCGGGCCCGAGCCGCGUCGCGCCGCCCCCAGCGCGACCGCCUCCCCCUCCCGAUCGCGUCACACUCAAGGUCCAAAGAUGGUGUGCGCACUUGUCUGUGGUCAUUUCCCAUUAUAAUGAAUGGGAGGCGCAGUUUCUACCAAAACACUCGCUGCAGACAAACUACAUGUCCUAUUUGAAAAAAGUCUGGACCAUGAGUGAGGGCACAAACACAGCUAGGAUAUAUCCAAAUGGCAAGUUGCUCCUCCUUACGGUGUUGCUGGGAGAGCGAUGCGAUUGAGCCAUUGACCGAUGGGCAGGGUUAACUUGACUUUUUCUCCUGCCUUGGGGGGGCGAUGUGGAUUCUUUUAAGAAUGUGGAUAUUUGGGUCAUCUUUGGCGCCCCCUAGAACGUAAACCGUGGGGAGCAGCGUCAUGAUUUCUACAACUUUGAAUGGCCAUGGGAUGUAGAUCGGCUUGAGCAAAUUUGGUGUUGGUGGGACGAAAGCCUUAGGAGGAGUUAGCCACAUUCCAAUGUGUGCUAAUCGGCAAAAAAUGCAAAAUAGCCCUUUAACCGUACAUUUUACAGAUACGCGCGCAUUGACUUUUUCGUAGAUCUUAUUGAGAUACAUGUGUGUGUCAAAUUUUGUGUCAAUAUGACAAAGCAUACAGGUAUGACAGUCAACAAUGUGUAUUUUCACCUUAUGGGACAAGAAAAAAUGGACUUUUUUCUCCUGCCAUGGGGGGGCGCUCUUUUGGGGAGUAAAAAUUCCUUCACAAAUGUGUUGAUGGCUGGACAUUGCAUCAUCCUAGAAAACUUGGAGGCCAGAGAGGACAAAAAUAAAAAGUUAUAAGACUUUUAAAUAUGUGGAUUUUAGGGUUAUCUUUGGCGCCCCCUAGAACCUAAACCGUGGGGUGCAGCGUCAUGAUUUGAAUAACUUUUAAUGGCCAUGGGGUGUAGAUUGGCCUGAGCAAAUGUGGUGCCGGUGGAACGAAAGCCUUCGGAGGAGUUAGCGAAAUUCCAAUGUGUGCGGAUCGGCAAAAAAUGCGCAAUAACCCUUUAACCGUACAUUUGACAGAUACGCCCGCACUGACUUUUUUGUAGAUCUUAUUGAGAUACAUGUGUGUGUCAAUUUUUGUGUAAUUUUGACAAAGCGUACAGGCGUGACAGUCAAUAGUGUGAAUUUUCACCUUAUGGGACAAGAAAAAAUGGACUUUUUUCUCCUGCCAUGGGGGGGCGCUCUUUUGGGGAGUAAAAAUUCCUUCACAAAUGUGUUGAUGGCUGGACAUUGCAUCAUCCUAGAAAACUUGGAGGCCAGUGAGGGCAAAAAUAAAAAGUUAUAAGACUUUUAAAUAUGUGGAUUUUAGGGUUAUCUUUGGCGCCCCCUAGAACCUAAACCGUGGGGUGCAGCGUCAUGAUUUGAAUAACUUUUAAUGGCCAUGGGGUGUAGAUUGGCCUGAGCAAAUGUGGUGCCGGUGGAACGAAAGCCUUCGGAGGAGUUAGCGAAAUUCCAAUGUGUGCGGAUCGGCAAAAAAUGCGCAAUAACCCUUUAACCGUACAUUUGACAGAUACGCCUGCACUGACUUUUUUGUAGAUCUUAUUGAGAUACAUGUGUGUGUCAAUUUUUGUGUAAUUUUGACAAAGCGUACAGGCGUCAGGUGAAUUUUUCACCUUAGGGGGCGCUAUGGAGCCAUUUUGCAUUGUAUUGUUUGGGCGACUUCAGAAUAUCGAAUUUUUCACCAGGCCCGGUCGUCCUGCCAAAUUUCCUGAGUUUUCGCCAGUGGGAAGUGGGCCAUUUUCCAGUUUAAAGGGGAGGAAAAAUAACUAGGGCCCCGGUGGGGCACUGUCGGGCCCGAGCCGCGUCGCGCCGCCCCCAGCGCGACCGCCUCCCCCUCCCGAUCGCGUCACACUCAAGGUCCAAAGAUGGUGUGCGCACUUGUCUGUGGUCAUUUAUCAUUAUAAUGAAUGGGAGGCGCAGUUUCUACCAAAACACUCACUGCAGACAAACUACAUGUCCUAUUUGAAAAAAGUCUGGACCAUGAGUGAGGGCACAAACACAGCUAGGAUAUAUCCAAAUGGCAGGUUGCUCCUCCUCCUUUUUCGUAGAUCUUAUUGAGAUACAUGUGUGUGUCAAUUUUUGUGUCAUUUUGACAAAGCGUACAGGUGUCACACUCAACAAUGUGAAUUUUCACCUUAGGGGACAAGAAAAAAAUGACUUUUUUCUCCUGCCAUGGGGGGGCGCUCUUUUGGGGAGUAAAAAUUCCUUCACAAAUGUGUUGAUGGCUGGACAUUGCAUCAUCCUAGAAAACUUGGAGGCCAGUGAGGACAAAAAUAAAAAGUUAUAAGACUUUUAAAUAUGUGGAUUUUAGGGUUAUAUUUGGCGCCCCCUAGAACCUAGACCGUGGGGUGCAGCAUCAUAAUUUGAAUAACUUUUAAUGGCCAUGGGGUGUAGAUUGGCCUGAGCAAAUGUGGUGCCGGUGGAACGAAAGCCUUCGGAGGAGUUAGCAAAAUUCCAAUGUGUGCGUAUUGGCCAAAAAAUGCGGAAUAACCCUUUAACCGUACAUUUGACAGAUACGCGCGCAUAGACUUUUUUGUAGAUCUUAUUGAGAUACAUGUGUGUGUCAAUUUUUGUGUCAUUUUGCCAAAGCAUACAGGCGUGACACUCAACAAUGUGUAUUUUCACCUUAGGGGACAAGAAAAAAUGGACUUUUUUCUCCUGCCAUGGGGGGGCGCUCUUUUGGGGAGUAAAAAUUCCUUCACAGAUGUGUUGAUGGCUGGACAUUGCAUCAUCCUAGAAAACUUGGAGGCCAGUGAGGACAAAAAUAAAAAGUUAUAAGACUUUUAAAUAUGUGGAUUUUAGGGUUAUUUUUGGCGCCCCCUAGAACCUAAACCGUGGGGUGCAGCUUCAUGAUUUGAAUAACUUUUAAUGGCCAUGGGGUGUAGAUUGGCCUGAGCAAAUGUGUUGCCGGUGGAAUGAAAGCCUUCGGAGGAGUUAGCGAAAUUCCAAUGUGUGCGGAUCGGCAAAAAAUGCGAAAUUGCCCUUUAACCGUACAUUUUACAGAUACGCGCGCAUUGACUUUUUCGUAGAUCUUAUUGAGAUACACGUGAUUGUCAAAUUUUGUGUCAAUAUGACAAAACAUACAGGCGAAGCACUCAACAAUGUGUAUUUUCACCUUAGUGGACAAGAAAAAAUUGACUUUUUUCUCCUGCCAUGGGGGGCGCUCUUUUGGGGAGUAAAAAUUCCUUCACAAAUGUGUUGAUGGCUGGACAUUGCAUCAUCCUAGAAAACUUAGAGGCCAGUGGGGACAAAAAUAAAAAGUUAUAAGACUUUUAAAUAUGUGGAUUUUAGGGUUAUCUUUGGCGCCCCCUAGAACCUAAACCGUGGGGUGCAGCGUCAUGAUUUGAAUAACUUUUAAUGGCCAUGGGGUGUAGAUUGACCUGAGCAAAUGUUGUGCCGAUGGAACGAAAGUCUUCAGAGGAGUUAGCGAAAUUCCGAUGUGUGUGGAUCGGCAAAAAAUGCGAAAUAACCCUUUAACCGUAAUUUUGACAGAUACGCCCGCACUGACUUUUUUGUAGAUCUUAUUGAGAUACAUGUGUGUGUCAAUUUUUGUGUCAAUAUGACAAAGCGUAAAGGCGUGACAGUCAAUAGUGUGAAUUUUCACCUUAGGGGGCGCUAUGGAGCCAUUUUGCAUUUUAUUGUUUGGGCGACUUCAGAAUAUCGAAUUUUUCACCAGGCCCGGUCGUCCUGCCAAAUUUCAUGAGUUUUCGCCAGUGGGAAGUGGGCCAUUUUCCAGUUCAAAGGGGAGGAAAAAUAAUAAUAAUAACAAAAGAAGGAAACAUGCAGGAACAAGAGGGCUCUCGCAGCUGCUUAGCAGCUACGCUCGGGCCCUAACUAGGGCCCCGUUGGGGCACUGGCGGGCCCGAGCUGUGUCGCGCCGCCCCCAACACGACCGCGUCACACUCAAGGUCCAAAGAUGGUGUUCGCACUUGUCUGUGGUCAUUUACCAUUAUAAUGAAUGGGAGGCGCAGUUUCUACCAAAACGCUCGCUGCAGACAAACUACAUGUCCUAUUUGAAAAAAGUCUGGACCAUGAGUGAGGGCACAAACACAGCUAGGAUAUAUCCAAAUGGCAGGUUGCUCCUCCUUACGGUGUUGCCUGGAGAGCGAUGCGAUUGAGCCAUUGAGCGAUGGGCAGGAAAAACUUGACUUUUUCUCCGGCCAUGGGGGGGCGCUGUUUUGGGGAGUAAAAAUUCCUUCACAAAUGUGUUGAUGGCUAGACAUUGCAUCAUCCUAGAAAACUUGGAGGCCAGUGAGGACAAAAAUAAAAAGUUCUAAGACUUUUAAGAAUGUGGAUUUUUGGGUCCUCUUUGGCGCCCCCUAGAACGUAAACCAUGGGGUGCAGCGUCAUGAUUUUUACAACUUUUAAUGGCCAUGGGGUGUAGAUUGCUCUGAGCAAAUUUGUUGUCAGUGGGACGAAAUCCUUAGGAGGAGUCAGCCACAUUCCAAUGUGUGCGAAUCAGCAAAAAAUGCAAAAUAGCCCUUUAGCCGUACAGUUUACAGAUACGCGUGCAUUGACUUUUUCGUAGAUCUUAUUGAGAUACACGUGUGUGUCAAAUUUUUUGUCAAUAUGACAAAGCGUACAGGCGUGAAUCUCAACAAUGUGUAUUUUCACCUUAGGGGACAAGAAAAAAUUGACUUUUUUUUCCUGCCAUGGGGGGGCGCUCUUUUGGGGAGUAAAAAUUCCUUCACAAAUGUGUUGAUGGCUGGACAUUGCAUCAUCCUAGAAAACUUGGAGGCCAGUGAGGACAAAAAAAAAAAGUUAUAAAACUUUUAAGAAUGUGGAUUUUUGGGUUAUUUUUGGCGCCCCCUAGAACCUAAACCGUGGGGUGCAGCGUCAUGAUUUGUACAACUUUGAAUGGCCAUGGAGUGUAGAUUGGCCUGAGCAAAUGUGGUGCCGGUGGAACGAAAGCCUUCGGAGGAGUUAGCGAAAUUCCAAUGUGUGCAGAUCGGAAAAAAUGCGCAAUAACCCUUUAACCGUACAUUUGACAGAUACGCCCGCACUGACUUUUUUGUAGAUCUUAUUGAGAUACAUGUGUGUGUCAAUUUUUGUGUCAAUAUGACAAAGCGUACAGGCGUGACAGUCAAUAGUGUGAAUUUUCACCUUAGGGGGCGCUAUGGAGCCAUUUUGCAUUUUAUUGUUUGGGCGACUUCAGAAUAUCGAAUUUUUCACCAGGCCCGGUCGUCCUGCCAAAUUUCCUGAGUUUUCGCCAGUGGGAAGUGGGCCAUUUUCCAGUUUAAAGCGGAGGAAAAAUAAUAAUAACUAGGACCCCGUUGGGGCACUGGCGGGCCCGAGCCGUGUCGCGUCCCCCCCAACGUGCUGCCUCCCCGUCCCAUUUGUGUCCUCUGGCCAUCGCCCUCUCUGGUAACGCCCAUCACUGCAAAGACCCUUUUCCUUCAUCGGCGUUUGCUGUUCUUCCUGCCAGUGCGUGUUGCUUUCACUUACACUUGCCACAGCCAGCCUCGUGAGUGCCUAGCCUAUUGGAUAUCACUGUCACCUACACAGGACAGUCAUUACCUUUCUAUUAAUACUUUGUGUUUUAAUUUCACAUUAAUUUCCAUAUUGUAUAAACGACUGGAAAAAACUUGAGCCCCUGCCCCUGUAUAAUCAUGUGCAUGUCUCUGUUCUAGCUCCAAGGUGAAUCUUCACUGCUCAUGUUCUCCUCAGAAGCACUCACCUCACUCCCCUCAGGUUACUGUACACAUGCACCAACUGCCUGCUUCAGGUUUGGAUGGAGCUUCAUGGUUGUCUUUUGGAGAAAUGACCAGUCAAGUUGUGUUUGAAAUUUGAUUUUUUUCAGGGGCAAAAGGAGCCUCUGCAUUCUUGUCAAAUAUGUAAAUAGCAUGUUUUUGCAGGUGCUAAAAACCAGACUCUGAGUGUGUGUGUGUGUGUGUGUGUGUGCGUGUGUGUGUCUGUGUGUGCGUUCAAGUCACAUGACAUAUUUAACCGGAUGUAGCUGCAAGACGGAGCCUCGUUGACUCUCCGUUUCAACUUAUCUCAAAAGUGAGGACCUCAACCUAUAUACCAGUUUUUAAAUUGUGUUGGUAGGCCAAAUAAAACCAGAGUUAUGAUAAAUUAUGUCCGCGAUACUUUUUUUCUGCUUAUUUUGAUCACGUUCGGCGCUCAAUCGCGCUGUAUGAGACAGGAAAACAUAGCAUGCAGACAUUAGCGACAGCUCUUACAGGCGGAAAAGGCUUGCCAAAAGAAAAAAAAAACACACCACAACAUCUCUCCUAUUGGUGGAAAACUUCACCACAACAACCAAUCCAAAAUUAUAUGGUGACUGAUUGACAAGGGGCGGGCGCUUACGUUCUUCCUGCAACAUGAGAAGGGAGGGAGGGACUCUCAGCAGGGAUGCAGUCUGGGACACGUAGUUGCAAACCUAGCGACUUUGUUGUUAGAUUCAAUGACUUUUCAGACCCCCUAACGACUUUUUUUUAGAAAGAAAGGGACUUUUAUCG
rnacentral:lncRNA from 1 species